AAAUGCAGCAACUUGCAUUGGCGAUGCAAUCACCACUGAAGGCUGGUGAUGGAAACCCCAUCUAAACAUCCUCAUACAUGGAAAUCAGUCCUCCUGCUCCCAGAAGUCUACAAUCAUAACCUCCAGGGAGGACCCAGAUGGUGCAAGUACUCAACGAAAGGAGUUACCAAACGGGAAAGGAAAAGCAAGAGUGUCUUUGUGGUCAGAAAAUCAUAAGGAAGAAUGAAAGUCACCCUCAUCCCACACUGCCUGAGGUGGUACUUACACUGUUUGGAUUUUGGGGAGAUCAGGGAUUUCCUCCUUUUUCUUGCGGAAGAAGAACCAAUAAGUAAAAAGCCCAGUGAUGAGUGAGAUGAGAAACACAUCAGUCAUGCUCAAGAAAGAGUCUUGUGCAGUGCCUUCAGGAGGGGAGACUGUCGAUUCCAUGCCAGCAUCCCCCAUGAUGGUCAGAGAUACUUGCACCUGCUGUUCUGCAAGCAAACACUGAUGGGACCCACGAGCUCCAACACGAAGGGCAGCGAGCAGCAGGGAGCACUUCCUUCAAGACAAGAUGAGGAGUUUUGGUCAGACAGCCCCGUUGAGCUUCUCC
rnacentral:lncRNA from 1 species